AUGGAAGAGGAAAGAGAUGCAACCCAGCAUAUGACAAGUGAUGGAGGGAUGGAAGAGGAAAGAGACUCGACCCUAGAUACAACAAGUGACGGAAGGAUGGAAGAGAGAAGAGACAUGGCCCAACAUAUGACAAGUGUUGGAGGGAUGGAAGAGAAAAAAUAUGUGACACUACCUACGACAAGUACUGAAUGGAUAGAAGAGGAAAGGGAUCAGGAUGGAGAAGAAGAGCUGGAGAUGGAGCUCUCUAAUGAAGCUUCUGAAACAGAGGACGAUACAGAGUUCGAUCCAGACUACCACUCUACUGAUGAAGAAGAGUCAGAGGAAGAGUCAGAGGAAGAGUCAGACGUCACUGCUGACACAGAGACGGCUUAUAAGUCCAAAAACGGAAAUAUAUCGUGGACUUCAAAAUCUCCUCGUCAGAGACAACGAGGGAGAAUUCCAGUACAUCGUAUCAUCAGAACGACCCCUGGACCAACCAGGCUGGCAUGUGCCAAUGCUAAAGACAUAAGAUCAACAUUUGAAUUGUUUUUCCCAGAUGAUAUUAAACAGAUUUUGAUUGAAAUGAACAAUUUAGAGGGGAAACGUGUGUUUGGUGCUGCCUGGAAGGACCUGGACUGGACAGACUUACAGGCCUUUCUUGGUCUGUUGAUUCUGGCAGGUGUGUAUCGAUCCCAGCAUGAGGCCAUGGAUUGCUUAUGGCACGCUGAGUCGGGAAGGCCGAUUUUUCGUGCUACCAUGUCACUGAAAAGUUUUAAGAGUUUGUCAAGGGUCUUCUGCUUUUACAAAAAGGACAAAAGGCAUAGGCAACAGGAAAAAGACAAGCUGGCACCAGUAAGGAACAUCUGGGAUAAAUGGGUCCAACGCCUGCCACUCUUAUACAAUCCAGGCCCAAACCUCACUGUGGACAAGUGCCUGGUCAGUUUCAGAGGUCGCUGUCCCUUCAAACAAUACAUGCCGAGUAAACCGGGCAAGUACGGAAUUAAAAUCUGGGCGGCAUGCG
ensembl:lncRNA